CGAAACUAAAGGUACAGUUACUAGUUAGUGUUUUUGUGUGUUUGUAUGUGUGUGUGUCGUGGAGGAGUGAUCUGUGCCUGUCCAUGUGGCUAUAUGACGAACCAGGCUGUUGCCACGGUGACGGUGGUGGUGGGCAUGACACAGAUGCGGGAGGUGGAGUUUGUGCCCGAUGGAGACAUGCAGGUGGACAAAUUGUGUUGGUCAUUGGUCAGACUGGAGUUUACAUGUGUACCUCCUUCACCAUCAUUGGUGGACACUUCACCUUGAGUGAUGCUUGAGCUGUCAUGGUGUUGCUGGUGCUGUGUGCCAUCAUCACCCUGACACAGACCACCCUGCAGACACCUUCAUCCUGGGUGCCACACGUCGCUGCUGCUACAACUCAGAGCAACAAGAGCGCAAGCCAGGAAGGGAAAUGUGUGCAGGUUUGCAGUAAACCUCCCUGAAGGUUCCAGAGCUGCUCAGCAAGUGUCCAGUCCAGGCUGUCACAAGACUGUGUGAUGGUGGACCUUCCAAUGAUACUCACUGAAAACAGCUGUGCACUGCCACUCACAGGAAGUGGUGACCACUCUAGGUGGUACUGUGGAUAGCAAGCGGAAGAGGCCUUGGGAGACUUCCGUAAAUGAGGAGCAACAGUCACACCUCACUGGAGUCUUUCAGGAACCAACAGUCAGGGCUGAUGUGAAGGUGUCUGCAGCCAGUGUUUGGUCUCCUCUGUGCCUGGUGGUGAUGCCUCAUUGCAGGGCUGAUGUGAAGGUGUCUGCAGCCAGUGGUGGUGCCUCAUUGCAGGGCUGAUGUGAAGGUGUCUGCAGCCAGUGGUGGGUGUCCUCUGUGCCUGGUGGUGCCUCAUUGCAGGGCCUGAUGUGAAGGUGUCUGCAGCCAGUGGUGGUGCCUCAUUGCAGGGCCUGAUGUGAAGGUGUCUGCAGCCAGUGGUGGUGCCUCAUUGCAGGGCUGAUGUGAAGGUGUCUGCAGCCAGUGGUGGGUGUCCUCUGUGCCUGGUGGUGCCUCAUUGCAGGGCCUGAUGUGAAGGUGUCUGCAGCCAGUGGUGGUGCCUCAUUGCAGGGCUGAUGUGAAGGUGUCUGCAGCCAGUGGUGGGUGUCCUCUGUGCCUGGUGGUGCCUCAUUGCAGGGCUGAUGUGAAGGUGUCUGCAGCCAGUGUUUGGUGUCCUCUCUUCCUGGUGGUGCAGCCUGAUGUGUUGCCUGCUUCAGUGUAAAUCUUGCAAGCUAGAUCUGCCAGGUGUCUCCAGUGUAGUAGUCUAGGGUGCUUUGCUUUGUCUUUGGCAAUAAAUAAAAUUGUGAGUAUCAUUCUCAUGUGAAUUAUAUAGUUUGAUAAAAUUACAGAAUGUGCUUGGGUAAACUAAAUUUAUAUAUUGGUGGUAAACAAUUCAUGCAUCCCCAAGUAAAUAAAUAAAAAAAUAAAUAGGACCCAAAACAAUAGAUACAAUAUAGAUCAUCCUCUGGUCAAAAAAAAAACAAAGCCAGGAUUGGCCCAUUUUUGGCCAAGUUUAAAGUGAAACUUGCACACACAAGCCCUGUCCGAGCGACACCGGAGUCGCUCGGACAGGGCUUCUGUGUGCAAGUUUUACCUUAAACUUAGCCAAAAAUGGGCCAAUCCAGCCAAAAAUGGGCCAAUCCUGGCUUUUUUUUUUUUUGACCAGAGGAUCAAUUGUUUAGUAUUUUUUGCUUCCAUUUUUUUUUUUUUUUUAUCAGGGCUAUGAACUGGUUACAUCAGAAAGCAGCUUAUUUGCAAUUUGUUUUGCAAUUUGUAAAAAGAUUUGUAUAUAAUUCCACAAUUCCACAAGUAUGAACAAGAUGAUUAAAUAUAUUUGUUUAAAUCACAUUGCCAAAGUUUGUGAGGAGGCAUGAACUGUUACACCAGAAAGCUUGUUUAUUUGCAACUUGUUAGUAUAAUUCCCUAAGUAUGUACAAGAUAAUAUAGAUAUUGUUUAAUAAAUCAUUAUUGUUUAAUCAUUCCCUAAGUAUAUACAAGAUAAUAUAUAUAUUGUUUAAUCAUUAUUGUUUAAUCACAAAAGUUUAAUAAAUACACAAUAGGAUAAA